GACGAACGCUGGCGGCGUGCUUAACACAUGCCAGUCGAACGGAAAGGCCCUGCUUUUGUGGGGUGCUCGAGUGGCGAACGGGUGAGUAACACGUGAGUAACCUGCCCUUGACUUUGGGAUAACUUCAGGAAACUGGGGCUAAUACCGGAUAGGAGCUCCUGCUGCAUGGUGGGGGUUGGAAAGUUUCGGCGGUUGGGGAUAGACUCGCGGCUUAUCAGCUUGUUGGUGGGGUAGUGGCUUACCCAGGCUUUGACGGGUAGCCGGCCUGAGAGGGUGGCCGGCCACAUGGGGACUGAGAUACGGCCCAGACUCCUACGGGAGGCAGCAGUGGGGAAUAUUGCACAAUGGGCGGGAGCCUGAUGCAGCAACGCCGCGUGCGGGAUGACGGCCUUCGGGUUGUAAACCGCUUUCGCCUGUGACGAAGCGUGAGUGACGGUAAUGGGUAAAGAAGCACCGGCUAACUACGUG
rnacentral:rRNA from 1 species